ACCCCAAUUGCAGGCUGGACCGACAAGGAAGUUGUGCCGUGGCUUGGUGUCGUCAACCAACUUUCUGCGCGCGUUGAGCUGCCAAAAGGAAAUAUAGCACUAGCCGGAGCUUCUUAUCAGAAUCCAAAACGAAUAGAACAGGGCAAGAAAAACCGCAUUGAAGCCAUCGGAUCGAGCUGGCUGUGAAAACAUCUCCCAAAUAUUCAAAUCAAGGUCGAUGAAAAUAUAUCAAGGAAAAUAUUUCACCUCUCACAUUCCAACAAGAUAAGUUCCCCGCCUCGCCAGCAACCACUAGUAUCAACGGAA
rnacentral:sRNA from 1 species